rnacentral:lncRNA from 1 species
AUGCUUAAUUACUUGGAGGUAAAAAGCACCUAGCUGAAAUAGCCAUCCCUGAGGCUGCCUGUUGAGGAUAGGAGAUGCUUCAUCCAUCUUUAGAUCCUUUCUUGGAAACGCUGAGCCUGGCCAGCCAUGCAGGCUUUUCCAAGCUCUGAUGCUGCCCUGUGUCCACAAUAGCAUCCCCACAGCCUGGAUCCAUCAUUCCCAGCAUUAUGAUAGCUCCUUUGUCUCCUUGGAAGAGCCCAAAACCCACAGCUGAGGCCUCAGGGCUUUUCUAAUGUGCUUAGAACAGGGGUAAAGGUAAUGCCAACCAAAAUGGGGAAACCUGUAUUCUUGCUCAGUCACUGCUUAGUCAGCAUAAAUCACUCCAGAGGAUAGUUUGUUACUGACCUCAAAGACUCAGUUACAAAGAUGAUCACCAUAGCAUUGUUUACAGUAGCACCAAAAAAAAGGAACCACCUAAAUAUCUCUAAAUGUCCAACAUCACCGUUUGAAAAAAUAAGGAAUGGUACAUCCUUCCAUGGAAUGUACCUUAAAUCCACCCAAAAUCAUACUGCAUAUGGAUAUACAAUGUCAAGGAAACUUAGGAGUCCUAGCUUGGGGUCCAUGGACGUCCAACGAGAUGCUUAUCAAAGGGAGUUGGCAUCCCCUGAGAUGCUCAUGAAAGUGCAGACUUCCGGGCCCCCCUCCAGACUGAAUCUGCACUUCCAGCUUGGAGGGCAGGAAUCCUAACAAGUUCCCCAGAUGAGUCUCAGGCACACUAAAGCCAGAGCAUCGAUGCCUGGGACCCAAAAUAGGGAAGAAGCACUCUGGUGUAUCAAGAGGAAAAAAGCAAGUUACAUACAAACGCAGUAUACAUAAAAA